GACGAACGCUGGCGGCGUGCCUAAUACAUGCGAGUUGAGCGCUGAAGGUUGGUACUUGUACCAACUGGAUGAGCAGCGAACGGGUGAGUAACGCGUGGGGAAUCUGCCUUUGAGCGGGGCACAACAUUUGGAAACGAAUGCUAAUACCGCAUAAAAACUUUAAACACAAGUUUUAAGUUUGAAAGAUGCAAUUGCAUCACUCAAAGAUGAUCCCGCGUUGUAUUAGCUAGUUGGUGAGGUAAAGGCUCACCAAGGCGAUGAUACAUAGCCGACCUGAGAGGGUGAUCGGCCACAUUGGGACUGAGACACGGCCCAAACUCCUACGGGAGGCAGCAGUAGGGAAUCUUCGGCAAUGGACGAAAGUCUGACCGAGCAACGCCGCGUGAGUGAAGAAGGUUUUCGGAUCGUAAAACUCUGUUGGUAGAGAAGAACGUUGGUGAGAGUGGAAAGCUCAUCAAGUGACGGUAACUACCCAGAAAGGGACGGCUAACUACGUG
rnacentral:rRNA from 1 species